AGUGAACGCUGGCGGUAGGCCUAACACAUGCAAGUCGAACGGCAGCACAGUAAGGGCUUGCUCUUACGGGUGGCGAGUGGCGGACGGGUGAGGAAUACAUCGGAAUCUACUUUUUCGUGGGGGAUAACGUAGGGAAACUUACGCUAAUACCGCAUACGACCUACGGGUGAAAGCAGGGGAUCUUCGGACCUUGCGCGAUUGAAUGAGCCGAUGUCGGAUUAGCUAGUUGGCGGGGUAAAGGCCCACCAAGGCGACGAUCCGUAGCUGGUCUGAGAGGAAGAUCAGCCACACUGGAACUGAGACACGGUCCAGACUCCUACGGGAGGCAGCAGUGGGGAAUAUUGGACGAUGGGCGCAAGCCUGAUCCAGACAUACCGCGUGGGUGAAGCAGGCCUUCGGGUUGUAAAGCCCUUUUGUUGGGAAAGAAAAGCAGCAGGUUAAUACCCCGCUGUUCUGACGGUACCCAAAGAAUAAGCACCGGCUAACUUCGUG
rnacentral:rRNA from 1 species